GCUAGGAUAGCUCAGUUGGUAGAGCAAGAGACUCAAUCUCAGGGUUGUGGGUUUGAGCCCCAUGUUGGGCA